UACGGAGGGUGCAAGCGUUGUCCGGAUUUAUUGGGUUUAAAGGGUGCGUAGGCGGGCAGGUAAGUCAGUGGUGAAAUCUCCGAGCUUAACUCGGAACUGCCGUUGAUACUAUUUGUCUUGAAUAUUGUGGAGGUAAGCGGAAUAUGUCAUGUAGCGGUGAAAUGCUUAGAUAUGACAUAGAACACCAAUUGCGAAGGCAGCUUACUACACAACGAUUGACGCUGAGGCACGAAAGCGUGGGGAUCAAACAGG
rnacentral:rRNA from 1 species